GAAGGGGGCUAGCGUUGCUCGGAAUGACUGGGCGUAAAGGGCGCGCAGGCAGUUUGGACAGUCAGAUGUGAAAUUCCCGGGCUUAACCUGGGGGCUGCAUUUGAUACGUUCAGACUAGGGUGUGAAAGAGGGUUGUGGAACUCCAAGUGUAGAGGUGAAAUUCGUAGAUAUUUGGAAGAACACCGGUGGCGAAGGCGGCGACCUGGUUCACAACUGACGCUGAGGCGCGAAAGCGUGGGGAGCAAACAGGAUUAGAUACCCUGGUAGUCCACGCUGUAAACGAUGUAUGCUAGAUGUUAGGCAACCUAGUUGUUUAGUGUCGGAGCUAACGCGAUAAGCAUACCGCCUGGGGAGUACGGCCGCAAGGUUG
rnacentral:rRNA from 1 species